rnacentral:sRNA from 1 species
CACAAUAUUUGAUUGUGCAAUAACUGUUUAUGAAAAUAAUAAAAAAAAAUAUUGUAAGCUAGUCAAUGAUUUUUAAUUUCAAGAAGUUGAGAUGUAGUAAAUGUGAUUUAUGGUUGAAUAAUUGUACAAGUCUUCAAAGCAAUAUUUAAUUUAAUAAUUUGCAAUAUUAAUUGUUUUCUUGUUGGAAUGUUGUAUGCUAUGUUCGAACAUUUAAAAUUUCUGCCGUUGUCUUUAUGCACGUCUUACAAUGUAUUAUCAUAUGUUCUGAUUUAUUCUUAAUUAUAAAGAACAUUAAUUUUAGGUAUUAGAACUGAAAGACUUAAACAUGUUUGAUCUUUUUAAAGAAUUUAAUUUAUUUGAGUCCCUCUUAUGUUGAUUUUUAUUUUAUAAAUAUUUAGAUCUCUACACAUGUACGGGAUACAAAUAACCACACAAAACAUUGAUGUUUUUAAAUAGGAAUUAAAAAAUAUUUUUAGGUAUGUACAUGUACAAUAGGUAUGCUUGUACAAAUAGUUGGCUUUUAAAAAAAAAAAAUUCAAAUUGAAAUACUCUAUACCUGUACUAAAAAACAGCUGGCUAGUUUGAUACACUAUCAUGUAUGCUAUCACAAGUUGAGUUCAUUUGAAUUGAAGGAGAGUUAUUACUGAUUAAUGUUAUUAUAUAACAUUUAUAUUUAAAUCUCAAUAAGUGCACUAAUUGAAUGUGAAAAUAUGACUGUUUAUUAUUGAUUAAUUAUGUUAUAAAGUAUACAAUACUUCC